rnacentral:sRNA from 1 species
CUUUGACUAAGGUUCGAUUCGAGCGCAGCGAGAAAGCGUUGCCGCAGGCAACGACCCGAAGGGUGAGGAGCGGAGCGACGAAUAAUCCUUCCCCCACCACCA